UUGGGGAAUCAAAGUAACUCACACGAAUCUUAUGUUACAAUGUACACAUCUGGUAGCAGCAGCAUGUUAACAUUCUACACAAUCACAUCCGAAGGAACUCAAUAAUGCUAUCACAACCUAUGACUCCAUGAAACUCACCUCCUUAUCACUCAUCUAAUUAACAGUCUGGAAGAGAUUGAGCAGAUGCAAAAGGAGAAAAACUAGCAGCAGACUCGCUAUAAUGCAGCGGAUGCAGUGGGUGACCCGAAGAACUGACUAUACUUGGUGAUGC
rnacentral:lncRNA from 1 species